CGUCAAAUCAUCAUGCCCCUUAUGACCUGGGCUACACACGUGCUACAAUGGAUGGUACAAAGGGUUGCGAAACCGCGAGGUUGAGCCAAUCCCAUAAAACCAUUCUCAGUUCGGAUUGCAGGCUGCAACUCGCCUGCAUGAAGCCGGAAUCGCUAGUAAUCGCGGAUCAGCAUGUCGCGGUGAAUACGUUCUCGGGCCUU
rnacentral:rRNA from 1 species